rnacentral:rRNA from 1 species
UACGUAGGGGGCUAGCGUUGUCCGGAAUCAUUGGGCGUAAAGAGCGUGUAGGCGGCCCGGUAAGUCCGCUGUAAAAGUCAAAGGCUCAACCUUUGAAUGUCAGUGGAUACUGCCGGGCUAGAGUCCGGAAGAGGCGAGUGGAACUCCUGGUGUAGCGGUGGAAUGCGCAGAUAUCAGGAAGAACACCAACGGCGAAGGCAGCUCGCUGGGACGGUACUGACGCUGGAGGCGCGAAAGCGUGGGGAGCAAACAGG